UACGUAGGGUGCGAGCGUUGCCCGGAUUUAUUGGGCGUAAAGGGCGCGCAGGCGGCCACGCACGUGCCUGGUGAAAGCUCCCGGCUCAACUGGGAGAGGUCCAGGCAUACGGCGCGGCUGGAGCUCGGUAGGGGGUCGUGGAAUUCCCGGUGUAGUGGUGGAAUGCGUAGAUAUCGGGAGGAACACCAGUGGCGAAGGCGGCGACCUGGACCGAAGCUGACGCUGAGGCGCGAAGGCCAGGGGAGCAAACGGG
rnacentral:rRNA from 1 species